GACGGAGGAUGCAAGUGUUAUCCGGAAUCACUGGGCGUAAAGCGUCUGUAGGUGGUUUAAUAAGUCAACUGUUAAAUCUUGAGGCUCAACCUCAAAAUCGCAGUCGAAACUAUUAGGCUAGAGUAUAGUAGGGGUAAAGGGAAUUUCCAGUGGAGCGGUGAAAUGCGUAGAGAUUGGAAAGAACACCGAUGGCGAAGGCACUUUACUGGGCUGUUACUAACACUCAGAGACGAAAGCUAGGGUAGCAAGUGGG
rnacentral:rRNA from 1 species